rnacentral:tRNA from 1 species
ACCUGGGUGGCUCAGUCGGUUGAGCAUCUGACUUCGGCUCAGGUCAUGAUCCUGUGGUUUGUGGGUUCAAGCCCCGCGUUGGGCU